rnacentral:sRNA from 1 species
UCCUAUAUUAAAACGCAAAUAAGGGGA